GGCCUAACACAUGCAAGUCGAGGGGUAUAUUUCUUCGGAGAUAGAGACCGGCGCACGGGUGCGUAACGCGUAUGCAAUCUGCCUUUUACAGAGGGAUAGCCCAGAGAAAUUUGGAUUAAUACCUCAUAGUAUUACAGGAUGGCAUCGUCCAGUAAUUAAAGUCACAACGGUGAAAGAUGAGCAUGCGUCCCAUUAGCUAGUUGGUAAGGUAACGGCUUACCAAGGCAACGAUGGGUAGGGGUCCUGAGAGGGAGAUCCCCCACACUGGUACUGAGACACGGACCAGACUCCUACGGGAGGCAGCAGUGAGGAAUAUUGGUCAAUGGACGCAAGUCUGAACCAGCCAUGCCGCGUGCAGGAUGACGGUCCUAUGGAUUGUAAACUGCUUUUGCACAGGAAGAAACAUCCCGACGUGUCGGGACUUGACGGUACUGUGAGAAUAAGGAUCGG
rnacentral:rRNA from 1 species